rnacentral:misc_RNA from 1 species
AUGAAUAAACUUGGUCGAGUUGUGCUGGUCUUUCGGGACAUGUGCACGCUUGCCACCAAUUUUAACCACCUGUGCACCUUUUGUAGACUAGAAACGUUUCUCGAGGCAACUCGGAUUGAGAAUUGCUGUGCGCAAGCCGGCUGUUCUUGUGUUUCUUAGUCUAUGUUUUCAUAUACUCCGAAUGUAUGUAUCAGAAUGUAUUGCUAGGCCUUAGUGCCUUUAAAUCAAAUA